UUUCCAAAUUAAGAUAGAGGUCAUUUAUUUUGGCACGGACUAAAAAGAAAAUAGGUUCACAUAAAUUGAAAUAGAGGGAGUAGUUAGUAAGCUGGUUCUUGAUUUCUUAGCAUAACUAUCUCCUGGAUGAAGAAAAGUCGGUAAUUUUCUGAAGAUUAGAAAGCUUUUGUUAAACAAUUUGAUGAAGUGAAGCUCAAGCUUCUGGUUAGUGAUUUCAGCAUCCUAGCUAUGUACAAUAAUGCCUAUACUAAUCCAGCUCUUUUAAAGUUGCGAUUCAAAAGCUUUUUUUUAUAUUUGAGAUUCAAUAAUGCCGAUACUAUUCCAGCUGUUUCAAAAUCUUUUCACGAGGAUCUAAGCAUUGUAGAUACAAUUAAGACUAUGGGAGAACAGGGUUUGAAUUUGGAAAAAACUAGGUGAUUUCUUUCGAUCCGUCAAAACCUUGAUGGGAAAAUGCAAGUACUUGGCAAAAAAAUCAAAGUGCAAGUUGGAUAUCAGAAAGAAACUUAAAGCGAUGAAGCAAUACGAACUGAGGGGUUAUAAUUUCAUGGGUCAAGCUAUGCAUAUUAGAAAAGUGUGUGCUUCAAACAAUGGCAUGCAACGCAUGCAAGGUCUUGUCAGCCAAAAAGUAGUUUUUCACUUAGCAGAGUAUCUGUGUAUAAAUUUUUCUCUGAUUUUAUGCCUCUUUUUUUAGUAGCUAGGCUCUUGUGUGUUAUAUUAACGAGUUGAUACUCGAAGAUAGUAAUAUAUAAAGGUAGCCUAAAUCUCAAAUUAGUUAUAUCAUCAUUGGAGUGCAGGUGACUCAAAAGAAAGCUUCUACAUUGGUCCUCUGGAAGACAUACUAAUGUUAACAACUCGAUUCAGUAGCCUUCAGAAGGCGAGGAAGAGUGUUACAAAAUGCAAUUUCAUCUAUUAGUUGGUGAUAAUAACAUUAUUGGCUGAAAAUUUGAUUGGAAGAUCGAGUUCUCAAGACUUCGUCUACAUGUCAAGGUUAUGGACGCACCAUCUUGACCUAGUUGCAGGAGGAUCUAGACUUCUUCAAGAAAUCUCACGUCCAUCAAGUUCAUCUGACCUUAUUUCGUAAAUUUUCUGCAAUGUUUUUUCCAAAAUGAAAUGGAAUGACAUAUUCAAAUGACCUUAGAACAAGUUAUAUUGUAUUGUAGUUGAAAAACUUGAGAAUCAUUCACCUAUUCAUUUAUUAUUUUUU